rnacentral:tRNA from 1 species
GGAGGCGAGUGUGCUCUGGUGAGUGCCCCGGGCUUCAAACCCGGUGGGGGUCGGUAUGGCCGGCUUCGGUGGGUUCGAUUCCCACACGUCUCCGCCA